rnacentral:rRNA from 1 species
UGGGGAAUAUUGCACAAUGGGCGCAAGCCUGAUGCAGCCAUGCCGCGUGUAUGAAGAAGGCCUUCGGGUUGUAAAGUACUUUCAGCGGGGAGGAAGGGAGUAAAGUUAAUACCUUCGCUCAUUGACGUUACCCGCAGAAGAAGCACCGGCUAACUCCGUGCCAGCAGCCGCGGUAAUACGGAGGGUGCAAGCGUUAAUCGGAAUUACUGGGCGUAAAGCGCACGCAGGCGGUUUGUUAAGUCAGAUGUGAAAUCCUCGGGCUCAACCUGGGAACUGCAUCUGAUACUGGCAAGCUUGAGUCUCGUAGAGGGGGGUAGAAUUCCAGGUGUAGCGGUGAAAUGCGUAGAGAUCUGGAGGAAUACCGGUGGCGAAGGCGGCCCCCUGGACGAAGACUGACGCUCAGGUGCGAAAGCGUGGGGAGCAAACAGG